UACAGAGGUCCCAAGCGUUGUUCGGAUUCACUGGGCGUAAAGGGUGCGUAGGUGGCGGGGUAAGUUUGAUGUGAAAUCUCCGGGCUUAACCCGGAAACUGCAUUGAAUACUAUUCUGCUGGAGGUUUGGAGGGGGGACUGGAAUUCUCGGUGUAGCAGUGAAAUGCGUAGAUAUCGAGAGGAACACCUGUGGCGAAAGCGGCGCACUGGACCAUAACUGACGCUGAGGCGCGAAAGCUAGGGGAGCAAACAGG
rnacentral:rRNA from 1 species